rnacentral:sRNA from 1 species
GGGUCGGGGUUACAUGGCGGCGACUGCGGCAAAGCGAGAGCCUCGGAGACGCCGCUGCCGCCAGCACAGCCGGAGACCUGAGCCGACACUGGGGGCUGUCCGCGGGCCCCGCACUCUCUCGAUGAGUCGGAGAAGUCCCAACUGACUUUACAGUGUACAUUUAUCAGAAAUGUAAAACAUGACUGAGCUUUAAGGAAUUGUCUACGUUAAGGCAAGAAGGUUGUAUCAGAGUAAGAUGGACGGUAGCUUUGAUUGUGAUUGUGGUGAGCUGGAGCCACCUGAUCACUAACAAAAGACAUCUUCUGUUAACCAACAGCCACCAGGGCUUCCUGUUGAAAUAAAUAUAUAGCAACAAAGGAAGAAAAGAAGCAAAACGGAAAUAGUGCUUACCAGCACCUUAGAAUGAUGCUGCUCAGGACCAGUCCAACACUGAAUGUAUCUGCACUGUGAGGAGAAUGUUCAUAGAAGCCUGUUGUGUGCAUAUUUAUUCACAUUUUUGUUAAAUGUUAAAUCG